AUUGAACGCUGGCGGAAUGCUUUACACAUGCAAGUCGAACGGCAGCACGGACUUCGGUCUGGUGGCGAGUGGCGAACGGGUGAGUAAUGUAUCGGAACGUGCCCAGUCGUGGGGGAUAACGUAGUGAAAAUUACGCUAAUACCGCAUACGAUCUAUGGAUGAAAGCGGGGGAUCGCAAGACCUCGCGCGAUUGGAGCGGCCGAUAUCAGAUUAGGUAGUUGGUGGGGUAAAGGCCCACCAAGCCAACGAUCUGUAGCUGGUCUGAGAGGACGACCAGCCAAACUGGAACUGAGACACGGUCCAGACUCCUACGGGAGGCAGCAGUGGGGAAUUUUGGACAAUGGGCGAAAGCCUGAUCCAGCCAUUCCGCGUGCAGGAUGAAGGCACUCGGGUUGUAAACUGCUUUUGUACAGAACGAAAAGGUUUCUACUAAUACUAGGAGCUCAUGACGGUACUGUAAGAAUAAGCACCGGCUAACUACGUGCCAGCAGCCGCGGUAA
rnacentral:rRNA from 1 species